CCUACGGGGGGCAGCAGCCGCGGUAAUACGGAGGAUCCGAGCGUUAUCCGGAUUUAUUGAGUUUAAAGGGAGCGUAGAUGGGUUGUUAAGUCAGUUGUGAACGUUUGCGGCUCAACCGUAAAAUUGCAAUUGAUACUGGCAGCCUUGAGUACAGUUGAGGUAGGCGGAAUUCGUGGUGUAGCGGUGAAAUGCUUAGAUAUCACGAAGAACUCCGAUUGCGAAGGCAGCUUACUAAACUGCCACUGACAUUGAUGCUCGAAAGUGUGGGUAUCAAACAGGAUUAGAAACCCUUGUAGUCCACCCAG
rnacentral:rRNA from 1 species